CAUUGGCUUAGCACAGAGAGGAGCUCUGUUCGGGAGCUCCUCUCUUCUUCACAAAAAAUGGAUUUUUGAUCGCCCGACUGUCGCGGGCUGCUUUGGUUUCAUGGCGUUCUCCCUGUCCUGCUGCAAAUUUCCAAGAGCAGAGAAAUGCCUAAUCUCCUCAGGAACAAAGAGACGAGUGCAUCAAACGAGCUAAAAGCCAAUAAUCUCAGCAGGGAAGUCAGAUAAGGCUCCACGAAUG